GGAUUGGAUGAGAUAUAAUCUGUCUCUUAAUUAUAAAAUAGAAUUUAAUUUUUUAAUUAAAAAGUUAAAAUAUGUUAAAAAGACGAGAAGACCCUAUAGAGUUUUAUAAUUUAAGAUAAUUAAGAUUAUUUAUAAAAUAAAAAUUGAAAUUAUUUUAUUUAUUUUGUUGGGGUGACAGAAAAAUAUAAAAAACUUUUUAUAUAGAAAAACAUUGAUAAAUGAUUAGAUGAUCCAAUAUUAUUGAUUAUAAGAAAAAAUUACCUUAGGGAUAACAGCGUAAUUUUUUUUUUUAGUUCACAUAAAAAAAAGAGUUUGCGACCUCGAUGUUGGAUUAAGAUAAAAUUUAAAUGCAGAAG
rnacentral:rRNA from 1 species